UCGUAGGGUGCAAGCGUUAAAGUCGGAAUACUGGCGUAAAGCGUGCGCAGGCGGUUCUAUAAGACAGAUGUGAAAUCCCGGGCUCAACCCUGGGAACUGCAUUUGUGACUGUAGAGCUGGAGUGCGGCAGAGGGGGAUGGAAUUCCGCGUGUAGCAGUGAAAUGCGUAGAUAUGCGGAGGAACACCUAUAGCGAAGGCAGCUUGCUGGACGACACUGACGCUAAAGGCGCGAAAGCGUGGGGAGCGAACAGG
rnacentral:rRNA from 1 species